CAGCAGCCGCGGUAAUACGUAGGUCCCGAACGUUGUCCGGAUUUAUUGGGCGUAGAGCGAGCGCAGGCGGUUAGAUAAGUCUGAAGUUAAAGGCUGUGGCUUAACCAUAGUACGCUUUGGAAACUGUUUAACUUGAGUGCAAGAGGGGAGAGUGGAAUUCCAUGUGUAGCGGUGAAAUGCGUAGAUAUAUGGAGGAACACCGGUGGCGAAAGCGGCUCUCUGGCUUGUAACUGACGCUGAGGCUCGAAAGCGUGGGGAGCAAACAGGAUUAGAUACCCGGGUAGUCCCUGUCUCUUAUACC
rnacentral:rRNA from 1 species